rnacentral:rRNA from 1 species
GACGAACGCUGGCGGCGUGCUUAACACAUGCAAGUCGAACGGAAAGGCCCUGCUUUUGUUGGGUUCUCGAUUGGCGAACGGGUGAGUAACACGUGAGUAACCUGCCCUUGUCUUUGGGAUAACUUCAGGAAACUGGGGCUAAUACCGGAUAGGAUCUCCUGCUGCAUGUUGGUGAUUGGAAAGUUUCGGCGGUUGGGGAUGUACUCGCUGCUUAUCAGCUUGUUUGUGGGGUAGUGGCUUACCAAGGCUUUGACGGGUAGCCGGCCUGAGAGGGUGACCGGCCACAUUGGGACUGAGAUACGGACCAGACUCCUACGGGAGGCAGCAGUGGGGAAUAUUGCAGAAUGGGGGGAAGCCUGAUGCAGCAACGCCGCGUGCGGGAUGACGGCCUUCGGGUUGUAAACCGCUUUCGACUGUGACGAAGCGUGAGUGACGGUAAUGGGUAAAGAAGCACCGGCUAACUACGUG